UGAUCUGUCUCGUUUUGAGGCUCUUCAGCAGAUGUUCUCCUUUAGCACAAUAUAUGACUGUAAAUGAUUCGAGAUCAUCUUUGGGCACCCCCAGAUGUAGUUGGGAUUCCAGCGAGGUUCACCUGGAUUCCUGAUGAACCCAGGUUGUUUUACAGGCACCCCUUGGUGAAAUGGUCCUUGCAAAGGGAAUUUCAAAGCCUUUUGUGGAGCAAAAGACUUUUCUCUGCAGGUAUGGAGAUGCUCAGUACUAUGGAGACCGGGUCUGGACCUGUUUAGAGCAAAGCUGCAUGGAACGAAUUCAUCUGGGGAAGGAAACCUUGUCACCCUACACGCAUCCUCACAUACGGGCUUCCCAGUAUUAACAGGAAAAUGUCAUUUGGGUGUAUGUAGAUAAGAAAGUAAAACGUUAUUUUAUUCAGGAAGUGAAAUGGCCAGCAGAAAAAAA